rnacentral:rRNA from 1 species
UUGGAAGGCAAGUCUGGUGCCAGCAGCCGCGGUAAUUCCAGCUCCAAUAGCGCAUAUUAAAGUUGUUGCAGUUAAAAAGCUCGUAGUUGAAUUUCGGGAUUUGCAAGUUGGUCGUGCCUUCGGUAUGCACUGGCUUUGCUGAUUCCUCCUUCUUGAAGAACUGUAAUGCUAUUAAUUUAGUGUUGCAGGGAAACAGGACUGUUACUUUGAAAAAAUUAGAGUGUUUAAAGCAGGCUAACGCUUGAAUACAUUAGCAUGAAAUAAUGAAAUAGGACGUUUGAUCCUAUUUUGUUGGUUUCUAGGAUUGACGUAAUGAUUAAUAGGGAUAGUUGGGGGCAUUAGUAUUCAAUUGUCAGAGGUGAAAUUCUUGGAUUUAUUGAAGACUAACUACUGCGAAAGCUUUUGCCAAGGAUGUUUUCAUUAAUCAAGAACGAAAGUUAGGGGAUCGAAGACGAUCAGAUACCGUCGUAGUCUUAACCAUAAACUAUGCCGACUAGGAUCGGAUGAUGUUAAUUUUUUAAUGACUCAUUCGGCGCCUUACGG